AAAGGGAGACCUAAUUCCAGUAGGAGACGAAAAAAAAGUAGUCCCUACCAAGAAUCAAUCCCAAAAGGUCGGAGCGAGGCAAAAUUGGCUUUCAAACUAGGUUCUGGGUUCACACAAGACCUGAAUCAGGAACAAGGGCUGUUAGCUCAGGUGGUUAGAGCGCACCCCUGAUAAGGGUGAGGUCCCUGGUUCGAGUCCAGGAUGGCCCACCUGCACAGGUGGAAGAAAGAAAAGAAGCUCCGAAUCAGCACCUUAUCUUACUUAUAUAGUAAGAGAGAAUGCUGGCUCUGAGUACAGAGUCCAGAGGAACCUUGAAAACUGCAUAGAGCUAGGUGAAAAAGCCAAAAAAGAAGACCGCAAG
rnacentral:tRNA from 1 species